ACAGUCACACAUUAGAUACCCGUGUAGUCCUAGCCGUAAACGAUACUCGCUAGGUGUCGGCCACGGUGCGACCGUUGUCGGUGCCGUAGGGAAGCCGUGAAGCGAGCCACCUGGGAAGUACGGCCGCAAGGCUGAAACUUAAAGGAAUUGGCGGGGGAGCACAACAACGGGUGGAGCUUGCGGUUUAAUUGGAUUCAACGCCGGAAAUCUUACCGGGACCGACAGCACCAUGAAGGCCAAGCUGAAGACUUUGCCGGAUUAGCUG
rnacentral:rRNA from 1 species